UCCCUUGUAGCUCAGUUGGUAAAGAAUCUGCCUGCAAUUCAGGAGACCCAGGUUUGAUUCCUGGGUAGGGAA
rnacentral:tRNA from 1 species